UAGGGAAUCUUCCACAAUGGGCGAAAGCCUGAUGGAGCAACACCGCGUGAGUGAAGAAGGGUUUCGGCUCGUAAAGCUCUGUUGUUAAAGAAGAACACGUAUGAGAGUAACUGUUCAUACGUUGACGGUAUUUAACCAGAAAGUCACGGCUAACUACGUGCCAC
rnacentral:rRNA from 1 species